AUACGGAGGAUCCGAGCGUUAUCCGGAUUUAUUGGGUUUAAAGGGAGCGUAGAUGGGUUGUUAAGUCAGUUGUGAAAGUUUGCGGCUCAACCGUAAAAUUGCAAUUGAUACUGGCAGCCUUGAGUACAGUUGAGGUAGGCGGAAUUCGUGGUGUAGCGGUGAAAUGCUUAGAUAUCACGAAGAACUCCGAUUGCGAAGGCAGCCUACUAAACUGCCACUGACAUUGAUGCUCGAAAGUGUGGGUAUCAAACAGGAUUAGAUACCCUGGUAGUCCACACGGUAAACGAUGAAUACUCGCUGUUUGCGAUAUACUGCAAGCGGCCAAGCGAAAGCGUUAAGUAGUCCACCUGGGGAGUACGCCGGCAACGGUGAAACUUAAAGGAAUUGGCGGG
rnacentral:rRNA from 1 species